GAUGAACGCUGGCGGCGUGCCUAAUACAUGCAAGUCGAGCGAACAGACGAGGAGCUUGCUCCUCUGACGUUAGCGGCGGACGGGUGAGUAACACGUGGAUAACCUACCUAUAAGACUGGGAUAACUUCGGGAAACCGGAGCUAAUACCGGAUAAUAUAUUGAACCGCAUGGUUCAAUAGUGAAAGACGGUUUUGCUGUCACUUAUAGAUGGAUCCGCGCCGCAUUAGCUAGUUGGUAAGGUAACGGCUUACCAAGGCAACGAUGCGUAGCCGACCUGAGAGGGUGAUCGGCCACACUGGAACUGAGACACGGUCCAGACUUCUACGGGAGGCAGCAGUAGGGAAUCUUCCGCAAUGGGCGAAAGCCUGACGGAGCAACGCCGCGUGAGUGAUGAAGGUCUUCGGAUCGUAAAACUCUGUUAUUAGGGAAGAACAAAUGUGUAAGUAACUAUGCACGUCUUGACGGUACCUAAUCAGAAAGCCACGGCUAACUACGU
rnacentral:rRNA from 1 species